rnacentral:lncRNA from 1 species
GUGACAUUUUAGCCGAUUAUGUAACAGUAAAAUCAGAGAUUAUUCUAAAUUUAGAAAUUAAGCUUGAAAUUUAUACAUUUGGAAAGUCCCUGAGGAGGAUUAGCAAUUAUUUAAAAAUACGUACAUACAUGGAUUAUUGACAAUGUAUUCCAUCAUCACAAUUGGAGAAUUAAAUGAAAGUUACAAAUAUAGAACAAAACAAAACAGAAAGUACAAAAAAUGUACAUAUUUAUGCAUGAAACAAUUUCCUUAAAAGCAUAAUCAAAAUAGAAGGGCUUAAAUAAAUCACAGUGAGGCUUUAAAGCCAUAGUGGACCACUUGUUGUCUUAUAGUUAGUAAAAAUAAAUAUUGAUACCCCCCUCCCCUUUGUCAAUAUCCCCUCUAAUAAUGAAAAUAAAUAUUGAUACUCCCCUCCCCUUUGAUCCCC